GUCUCAGUGGCGUAGUGCUUAGCGCACGAGCUCCCCAGUUGGGCGCGACACGCGGGUUCGAAUCCCGCCUGAGAUG
rnacentral:tRNA from 1 species